rnacentral:rRNA from 1 species
AUUGAACGCUGGCGGCAUGCCUUACACAUGCAAGUUGAACGGCAGCACGGGAGCAAUCCUGGUGGCGAGUGGCGAACGGGUGAGUAAUAUAUCGGAACGUGCCCAGUCGUGGGGGAUAACGUAGAGAAAUUUACGCUAAUACCGCAUACGAUCUAAGGAUGAAAGCGGGGGACUCGCAAGGGCCUCGCGCGAUUGGAGCGGCUGAUAUCAGAUUAGGUUGUUGGUGAGGUAAAAGCUCACCAAGCCGACGAUCUGUAGCUGGUUUGAGAGAACGACCAGCCACACUGGGACUUAGACACGGCCCAGACUCCUACGGGAGGCAGCAGUGGGGAAUUUUGGACAAUGGGCGAAAGCCUGAUCCAGUAAUGCCGCGUGCAGGAAGAAGGCCUUCGGGUUGUAAACUGCUUUUGUACGGAACGAAAAGGUCUGCCCUAAUACGGCGGGCCCAUG